GCCUAUCUGAAGACCCAUAACCUUCAUUUAGCCCCUUAGGCAUAAGUGUUUCAAUAACAUGCUUGUCUUUAAAAGUGUUUAUUCCUCUACAAAACUUAAUAUAACUUUCACUUGUAUGUGUUAAAAAGCAGGCAAAGAAGCAGCCUCCUUAUCUCUGACCUCCUGGUUUACGGAGGCUGUUUUGCUGACAGCUGCUUUGCUGCAAAAGCCUGCUGUCCUUACUAAAAAAAUGACCAGUGCUAGCCUAAACCUAGGGAAAAACUUUUAUAAACAGGCUUUCUGUGUUUUCAAGCCUGGGUUGUUUCUGUGGACUUGCAUGUUAUUGAAACACCUAUGCUUAAGGGGCUAAAUAAAGGUUAUGGGUCUUCAGGUAGGCUUGUCUUUUCAAGUGUUUAUUCCUUUCCAAGCCUUUCACCUCUCUCUUGUAAAAAGUGGGAAAAGAAACAAACUUCUUCUCUCUAAUCCAAUGGUUAACAAAAUAAGGGGUAUAUAAACCAUCUGUUACUAAAACCUUGGGGUGCUUCUGCCUGCUCUUUUACAUUUUAAUGAAACACUUACGCCAAGGGGGCUAAAUGAAAACAAA